CUGCAUUUAAAUAUUUUAAUAACUUUUUCCUGAUUACAAAAGUAAUGCAUAUUCCAGGUAAGACACUUGGAAAACAGAACAACACAGAAAAAGCCCUCAGUGUCUAUCCAUCUGGAGACAGUCACUAACAAUUUGGUAUAGGCCUUCUUUGCACAUGUACCUGAAAACAUCUAUAUAUAAUUAUUUUAAUAAAACUUAUACAGUGAAGAGAUGAAAUAUCCUGCUUUUCUCACUUAACAAAGUAUAUCAUGACUAUUUCCCAAAUCAACAAAUCAUCCUCCUACAUAAGUUUUAAUGGCUACAUGGUAUUCUCUUCCCCUUAUUUUGGACAUCUGGAUUGUUUCUCAUUGUUUGCUAUUAAAUAUCCCUGUUACAUUCAUCUUAGCACUUUUCUCUGCUUAUCUCUUUAGGGACAGAUUCCUAGAAAUGGAAUUGUUAGAUCAGCUUAUGCGGGUGUAUUUUUAAGGUUUCUCCCUUUAGAAAAAGUUUUGCCUUUCACACUUCCAACAGGAAAGCACACAUGCCUGUUUCCUCAUACUUGGGACAGCAUAAAACUUGUAUUUAUUCUCAUUUUUGCUCCUCUUCUUCUUGGGAGUUUUUAAGGAAUGCAGAACAAGG
rnacentral:lncRNA from 1 species